CAAGCAUGUUAAAGUUUUAUAUGCAAGGAAGAUUUCAGUUAGAUAGUAAGGAAAAUUUUUUGACUACAUGUUGUUUGCUGCGUUGUUGUAGUUGACCUGGUCCCAGGAGCUUAAAUUCACAACUUUGCUAGAUGCUAAAAAUAAUGGAUUUAAUAAAGACUCUGGAGUUAUGGUUUAGUCCAAAAAUCUGCAAUCCACUACCCUUCCUUCCCCCUGCUUUUUCUCCUGUGACUGAAGGGGUGUUAACAGGCCACUUCACCGUGAAUGGUCUCUUAUAAUAUGUGGUAAGUACUUAUGCUAAACAAUCUGUCUCACCUUGUGUUUAGCUGGGACCCUCUGAUGUCCCACACCUG